GACGAACGCUGGCGGCGUGCCUAAUACAUGCAAGUCGAACGCAGUGGGGACGGGUGCGUAACACGUGGGUAACCUCCCAUCAGAGGGGAUAACACUUGGAAACAGGUGCUAAACCGAUACUGAUGGAUGGUCUCGCUGUGCAUUCGCUAGUUGGUGAGGUAAAGGCUCACCAAGGGCACGAUGCAUAGCCGGGCUGAGAGGAUGAUCAGCAACACUGGAACUGGGACACGGCCCAGACUCCUACGGGAGGCAGCAGUAGGGAAUCUUCGACAAUGGACGAAAGUCUGACCUAGCAACGCCGCGUGAGUGAAGAAGGUUUUCGGAUCGUAAAACACUGUUGUUAGAGAAGCGGUAACUGAAGAAAAAGCCACGGCUAACUACGUGCCAGCAGCCGCGGUAAUUG
rnacentral:rRNA from 1 species